AUUAGCCUCGCCACAUAAAUCAUGUUUGGCUUAUCGCAUGAUGCAAACGAACAAUCGUUAUUCAGCCAAUCAUGUUCUAAAAAUAACAUUCAUUUUCCACGCUAGUAUGAUUCCUUAAUUAACUUCUAUUGUGUACGUUCAGAAGCGAAUACUCGUUAAUUGUUCGAAAUCAAGGCGUUAAGGCUAUAUAAGUCGCUAUUAAUUAGCGUGCAGUGAUAAACGCCUUUGCGUGCAAGGUAUAUCUUUGUGUUGAUCACUUGUCUGGGGAGCUUCAACACCAAAGCACACCAGGUGGAGGUGAGCUUGGUGUGGUUCACUGCAAUUCUACUUCUGGACUUCGUAGCUGCCUCUUCCUUGCUUCCGGUGUGGUGCUGUAUUUUUCGAUCAGCAUGCUUUAUUUACUGCUUGGAGCGUCGUGGUUACAGGUACUCAAUCUGAGAGAUCUGGCUUUGCACUGCCCAACGAGAUUUGCAAAGGAAGAUGUGUUUGCUGAAGAUGGAGAUAAUGAGUUUAGAGAUAGUUACAGUAAAAACUCCCAAAUGAAGUACCUUCCAACGAAAAUAACGAAGCGGUCACUACGAGGAAGAGAAGAAGUAUUGCAGUAGACCAUACCAGCUUCGACUAUGUCUGGCGCUCUUUGGUGUUGAAGCUCUUCUAACAAGUGUUCAACACAAAGAUAUACCUUGCACACAACGGAAUUUAUCACAAAUUGUCUGAAUGCCUUAAUAAAAAAUUGCCUUCAACUACAAUA